AGGGUUUCUGUCAGCCUUGCCGGGGUGCAUUCAACGAGGGAGUGUCAGUCCCCUGCAGUUUCGGCGGGAAAGAUUUCCUUCUGAACCUGCCCCCACGUUAAACAGCACACGAUGAGUAACUUCAGCCCUCGUUAGUUUCACGUAUUUUACUUUGUUUUUAACGCGAACUUAAAAGAUCUGCCUGACCUGCUGAAUAUUCUCAGCAUUUCCUGUCUUUCUGAUGGAAUUAUUUCAGUGAAAAAUGUAGUUUUGUUUUUUUGUUUGAAAAGAGGCAUCAUAUUAUUCCACCAUGAGUGUGAGACAGCAUCUCCUGAAUACGUCAGUCAGCAACAGCAAUACCCCUUGGUGCAAACGUUCUGGCUUUCCCUGUGAUGUACAGAUGUGGCCGGUGCCUUCAACAUGUGCAUGCUUCACCGUGAUUGCUAGGACUUCCAAUCUGCACAAUUAGCACACCUAUCUCAACACACCCUGGUUUCUAAAUAAUAUUUCUGCAGAGAACAUGAAAAUUAUACAGACACCACUCCUGUUUAAUUUUAUUUCAAAAUAUUAUUGAGCUUUGAAAUCAUGGAAGGAGUGUCUGGAGGAAUUUCAACCUUCAAAACCGGGGUGGAUGAGAGAUAGUGGCAAUCAUAGAUUAAUACAACACAGAAUCCUUCAGACUUUAUUGGACAAAUAAAGUUAUAUCUUUGCACUAAA